rnacentral:rRNA from 1 species
GACGAACGCUGGCGGCGUGCCUAAUACAUGCAAGUCGAGCGGACUUAAAAAGCUUGCUUUUUAAGUUAGCGGCGGACGGGUGAGUAACACGUGGGCAACCUGCCUGUAAGACUGGGAUAACUUCGGGAAACCGGAGCUAAUACCGGAUAAUAUAUUGAACCGCAUGGUUCAAUAGUGAAAGACGGUUUUGCUGUCACUUAUAGAUGGAUCCGCGCCGCAUUAGCUAGUUGGUAAGGUAACGGCUUACCAAGGCAACGAUGCGUAGCCGACCUGAGAGGGUGAUCGGCCACACUGGAACUGAGACACGGUCCAGACUCCUACGGGAGGCAGCAGUAGGGAAUCUUCCGCAAUGGGCGAAAGCCUGACGGAGCAACGCCGCGUGAGUGAUGAAGGUCUUCGGAUCGUAAAACUCUGUUAUUAGGGAAGAACAAAUGUGUAAGUAACUAUGCACGUCUUGACGGUACCUAAUCAGAAAGCCACGGCUAACUACGUG